AAAAAGGCCCCUAGUACCGCGUUGUCAUUACAGCCGGAUGGACCUAAGCCAAGUAACACCCGACGCUUUCGUUAACGACUGCGGCACACACCGAAAAAAAAACACAAAAAAACCCAAGGAGCUUUAUCUUCGGGAGGAGCCCUCGCACGAAUUUAUGGGUUUAUUUCUAUAAUCAACGGCGAGGCACUUCCUAGACGAAUCACUUGCGGAGAAGUGCCCGAGUUCCUGGAUAUAUGAUCGGCUGGAUUUUUCAUUCUACCCAAUAUUGGAGAUAUUGGGUAGAUAUUGGGUAGCAUCCAGUAUGUUGUGUUAUGCUGCAGGAUGCCAGAUGCCGCUUGGCCAUGCUGAUGAGUAAUGUGAGUGUCCCCGGACGUGUGAAAGAGCGGAACUUUGAGGGUAAGAUUAGGUCCCGACCUUGUCUCGUCUCCCCACUCCGCUGACUCUGCUGCUUCACUUCCUUAUAUUUCGUAAGGGUGUUGCGCUGCGGCAGACGUUCCUCAUGAUACAGCUCAGCCCCCUCCCCGCAUGAAGUGUCCAUGGGGAACGUGCUUAAUAGGCAAAGGGGCAGGCAGGUAAGGCGAGCGGAUGCACGUCAGAUAGAAGGCCCCUGGCCACGGGCUGGGGUAGGGGGAAAAAGAAGAAGAAGAAGAAGAAGAAGAAGAAGAAGAAGAAGAAGAAGAAGAAGAAGAA